GACAGAGGGGGCAAGCGUUGCUCGGAAUUACUGGGCGUAAAGGGCGCGUAGGCGGGAUGGCAAGUCGGUCGUGAAAUCCCUCGGCUCAACUGAGGAUCGUCGAUCGAUACUGCCGUUCUUGAGGAUUGCAGAGGAGACUGGAAUUCCCGGUGUAGCGGUGAAAUGUGUAGAUAUCUGGAGGAACACCGGUGGCGAAGGCGGCAUCCUGGACCGAUAUUGACGCUGAUGCGCGAAAGCCAGGGGAGCAAACGGG
rnacentral:rRNA from 1 species